AGGGCUCAUUCCCAACAUCUCAGCCGGGAACAGCCUCGGGAGAAGGGGCAAGAACCCAAAGCACUCAGCCUGCAGAGCCAAGAAGCCACCCUGCUGAUUUCAUGCCUCCAAAGGCAGCUGAGCUAUCUUGGGUGUGAAAUAGCCCUGCAAGAGCUCAUGAGACCUGGCCCAGGAGGCUCCUAUUGCACCCCAGCGCUCAAGAACUGAAGGAACCAGGACUCACUGCUGGAGAAUCCAUCCCUGCCAGUCCCACUGCGGAUUCUGGAGGCUGUGCACACCGGAUUCCUCAGGAAAACCACCCAGCCUCUCACAACAGGUGCUGCAGGGAUAGCACCAGCCUCGUGAUUCACACCAACCAACAAACCUAAACAGAUUAUUCAACAAAAAGAGAACAAUUCCCUUGCCACGGCCUCCAGAGCUGUUCCUGGAGAGCCAAUGGCCAACCCUCCACCCUUGCCUGUGUCUGUGACAUCCCAGGGGACACAAUCCUGGCAGGAUCUCACUCCCCCUCUCCCCAAGCCCUUACAUCCUCAGCCACGUUUGUCAGUGCCCAGCAGCUUCGAGGCUCAGGUGAAAAUAAAAAGCCUGCAAGAUGGGGAAAGUGCUAAUUGUUGCUAAUAAACUGCUGGGAAAAUCCUCCCCUCUGCCCAGCCCCAAGCAGCAAGGGUUGGAGCACGGAGAAAAAAAACUUCUUUGUGCUCCAGACUCCUGCAGAACAGUCCCUGCCAUGGAAGCAGAAAAUAAUAGAGGGAUGUGGGAGGAGGAAGAGUCUCCUCACACGGCUCAAAAACACAAAGUCUUGCAGAAAUAAACCCCCAGAGGCAGGUUUGUCACCACACCUGCGGGGCCAGGAUGUGCUGGGAUGAAGGGAGAUGUCUCCUGGGUUGGAAGGCAGGAGACAAACAGAAGGGGGGCACUGAAGCCAACAUCAGGGGGGUCCCACAAGGCUCCCCACGACUGCAUGGCUUCAGAGGGGAUGGGGAUGCCUGCAAAUUAUCCAGUGCAGUCACACCAAAACCAGACUGCAAACAGAUCUUGUGGCACUGACCGACCUCGUGGUAAAAUGUCAGACAAAAAUUAGCAUCAAUAAA